GCAGUGCUUAGUUGCAUGGUGUUAGUACUUAGUACCCUCCAAUUCUCCAAACAAAGUGAUGAAAGGGAUUACUUGCCGAAAAACACAAUAAGUAUUUCAAAAAGAAAAGAAAAGAAAACGUUGAACAACGAAACUAGCAAAACAAAAGUACUGACGAGUUAACAAUGUUUGCCAAACACAAAUUGAAACAAACCAACGAAACAGUAAUAAUAACAAUAACAUGAAGUCACUCCAAGGGUAACAACUAACAACAAUAAACAUAAUGCAUUCCUCUGCAAGAAGGAACACGGCUAAAGUUGAAGCGAGUCAGUAAGUAGAAAGUUUACAUGACGAUGACGAUUCUUAUAGCAUAUUGCUGAUUAUCUGAGAUGCCAGGGCGCGACGGGAAGGGAGACACCUAAUAUUGCCGAAAACAUUUUCCUUCAACCUAGCUCUUCCUAUUAUCAAUUGAUUAAGGUGGGAUAUAGCAGCUGGAUCCUCCUCACAACACCAACAUACUAUUUCAGCCUUAGGGCCAACAAUUUUGUCUGAUGGGCACUUGUAGCGCAACAUAAGAUGAUCAUCGGCAAUCCCACACAUAGCAUAGGCCUUGAACUUCAUCUUGGCUAAAUCCUCCUCUGUAAUUACACCUAAAAAAAAAAAAAAAUUAAAAAAUCAAUACAUUAUACAUACAAAUAUACAUGAAUCAUGAUGUAAUAACAUAUUGGUACAUGGAAACCAAAACACUGAAACCAAGUUUAAAUUCAGUUGCCUAAGUAUACAUUCUCAAUUAAUUGAACAAAUGUUGAAAAAGCUACUAAAAAUUGUCAAGCAUACCUCGUUUUCUAGUUGUCUUGGUUUAGCCACUUUUGAUCCUUCUACUUGUACACCAACAAGUAAACAACCACCACCUUUGAAUCUUGUUGUUUGUUCUUCAAUCAAUCUUCCUCUCCUAGCUACCUUGAUUUGUGUUUCACACAGGGUAUAUAGAAGGAAGGUUGAAGAAAUUCAAUUGAUGGUCUGAUCAGAUGUAGUAGAUUAAUGAUCGAUCCAUAGACCCAUCAGACU
rnacentral:lncRNA from 1 species